ensembl:lncRNA
ACGAAUAUACAAGUAAAUAACUACAGAUUAUUUUAAAAUAAAAGACUACAGAGGAGAGUUUCCUGUUAAAAUAAAAAUAAAUAAAAAAUAAAAUAAAAAUUCUUACAGGAUUCAAUCCAAGCUUUUGUUGUUCCAGGACUGUCCUGCGCGUUGCUGUCUGUCAGCGCCCUUCUUGCUGAGAACUACAGAGUGUGUUUUGAAGACAAUAAGUGCUCUAUUUCUAAGAAUGGACAGCACCUAGUCAGUGUUGAAUGUAAAGACAGGUUGUUUGUAUUGAAUGCUUCUUUUGCAGGUCCAGGUGACACGGAGGAGGCUCAAGCACAGUGUGCCAACGUUCCAGUUCAUGAUGCGUGUGCUCACCUCUGGCACAGACGCAUGGCACACGUGUCCUGGGGGUUAGUGGAAAAGAUCCCAGAGUGUACGCAAGGGUGCAAAAUGAAAUCAUGUGCUAAGUUUCUAGAUUGCAGAGCGUGCAAGUCCGCAAAGGUGAAAACGUGCACAUACCCUAGGUCUGAGAGGGUGACCACUAGGGCUUUUCAGUUAAUUCAUGCAGAUUUGUCUGGUCCGAUGUCUGUGACCAGUAUGGGAGGAGCCAAAUUUGCGCUGGUUCUGAUUGAUGACCAUACGCGCAACUCCUGGACCUUCACAAUCCGACACAAAAAUGAAGCUGCACCGCUAAUCAAAGACUGGAUUGCGGCUGUGGAACUGCAGUUUUCCACACGGGUGCAAAACUUUCAGAGCGACCGCGGUGGGGAGUUCACCGGGUCUGCACUGCAAAGUUUCUUCCGCAAAAAGGGGUGGAGGUUUGCGUAUCCAUCAGGGAAUCAGUCCAGGAUUCUGCUCAGCAACAGUGCUGAAUUCUGUGAGCAGAGUGGCUGGGCAAGGAUACGUGGGAACCCUGACAUCCUGUCAGAGAGUCUGCUUGACUCUGCUGAUGAAGAAGAGGAAGAGGUUGAACCUGCUACUGAGGCUCAGAGUCCAGACCCAGUACAGGCAGAGGGGAGAACUUCUCCCAAGGCUGUGAAGAUUGAGCAACGCAGUGCUCCAUCUUCCCCCACAGGUUCGGCUGAGAAGUCCAGAAGGCGCAGUAAGUCAGAGGGGGAGCUCUCUGAUGGCAAGGACGUUCUGGCUGGCCCUAGUGAGUCAGAGGGGGUUCCUGAAGUAGUGCUGCAUCGAUCAGCUCGGAUGACCAAGGGGAAACCUCCUGAUAGGUUUGCCGUCACUAGCGUGUGGGUCGGAAUGGCACAGUGUGAACCCGAGAGUUUUGAGGAUGUUCAGAAACUGCCUCAGGAAGAAGCCAGAAAAUGGCAUAAGGCGAUGCAGAAGGAAAUGAACUCAAUGGAGUCGCUAGGUGUGUUCUCCCUCACGAAGUUGCCGGUGGGCAAAAAGGCCGUGGGUAGCCGCUGGGUUUACCGUCUUAAGCCCACAGCGACAGGAGAACCGCAGUAUAAGGCCAGAUUAGUGGCGAGAGGAUUCACGCAGCGCAGGGGGUUGCAUUAUACGGAAGUUUAUGCUCCCACCUGUAGGAGUGAAUCUCUACGUUUGCUCUUGGCCAUUGCUGCACAAAGAGGGUUGCUGGUGCAUCACUUUGAUGUGGAUGUUGCUUACUUGAACUCAGACCUCCAGGAGGAUCUGUACAUGCUUCCUCCUCCAGGGUUUGAGGGCAAUGAGCAAGGUACUGUGUGGAAACUUCACAGGUCAAUUUAUGGCCUGAAGCAGUCGGCCAGGAAUUGGAACUUGUGCCUGAAUGAAGCUUUGGAGAAGCUAGGUUUCAGGAAGAGUCUUGCUGACAGUUGCCUGUUCCUUAGAGGAUCAGGAGACUCACAGGAACUGGUUUUGUUUUAUGUUGAUGACAUCAUCCAUAUUGGAAAGGCAGACAAACAGGUGCAGAAGUUUGCCAAAGAGCUUGGGAAACGAUUUCAGCUCAAGAACCUGGGUGCAGUAAAGAUCUACCUAGGUGUCCAGAUAGCGAGAACUGAGGAUGGUAGCUUCUUGCUCAGUCAGAAAGGCAAGAUUGAGCAGUUGCUUGAGAAGUUCAGAAUGUCCGAUUGUGCAGGAGUUCGGACACCCAUGGAGACGAACUUCGUGAAAGAGAGCCAGCAAGCAGAAAGUGCAGAGUUCGAGAAUGCUGAGCUCUUUCAGUCAGCUCUAGGUAGUCUGUUGUAUCUAUCCCAAUGGAGCAGACCAGACAUUGCCUUUGCUACCAACCUGCUAAGUAGGGAAGCGUCAAAGCCCAGUGUGAGUGCUUGGCACGGUAUCAAGCGGGUACUGCGCUACCUGCAGCAUACCAAAGACUUCUGUCUUAAGCUGCCAGCUGAAGGUGAGGCGAAGCUCACAUGCUAUGCGGACAGUGACUGGGCGAAUUCGCAGGACCGCAAGUCUGUGUCUGGAUUGGUGGUAAAGUUUGGGAAGUCACUAAUUGGGUGGAAGUCUCGGAAGCAAAGUCUCAUUGCGCUGUCUUCUACUGAAGCUGAAUUCAGUGCACUGUCAGAUUUGUGCCGGGAACUAGAGUUCUAUAGAUGCUUGGUGCAAGAGAUCUAUGGGGAUUGUAGCUUGCCCAUCACGGUUUGGGAAUACAAUCAACCUUGUUUGAAAUUGGCUGAAUCUGCGCAAUUUAAGGCCAGAACCAAGCAUCUGGACAUACGUUUCCAAAAUGUGUGUCAGAGUGUUCAGUCAGGUUUGAUACGGCUGAAGUAUUGUGCCAGUCACAAUAACUUGGCCGAUGGAUUUACCAAACCUUUAAGCUUCCAGCGUCAUGGGGAGUUUUGUGAUGGUUUGGAGUUGGGGGUAAGUUCUGUACAUACUUUCCCCACAGUAACGCAGGACGAGAGGGGGUGUGAGGAGAACCUGAGCUUACAGGGUUAAACAGCUCAGAGUGUACGCCCUGCCUACUGUUGGGAGGGGGGAGACUCUGCAUCAUUUCCGAGUCUCUCAAGUCUUUGUUCUCUCUACUUUCGCUUUUGAGGAGAGUGGACGUGUUUUCACGAUGCUGUUCGACAAUGGAUAGUCUGCUUUAAAUAAAACUGCUUUUAGCUGCUAAGAUCCUGAGUGGACUUUAUUUAGCACACUGAAGAAAGUACUGAAGCUUACAGCUUUCUCUUACCGCUGCUGAUCUCUGCGUUUUGCUCAGAGCAUCGGAAUGUGGCCUUUGAAGUCCGAGGCCGGGCGAGGGUCUGCACAGCCGAAGCGGGCUGGACGCCAAGAUUUAUCUGAGCAAUAAAUCAAUCACCUUUAACAGAUUUAUUGUUUUUAAACAUGGAAGAAUGGUUGGAUUUUUUGGGGGGGAGAUAAUGUCAUCAUAC